rnacentral:rRNA from 1 species
UACGGAAGGCAGCAGUGGGGAAUAUUGCACAAUGGGCGCAAGCCUGAUGCAGCCAUGCCGCGUGUAUGAAGAAGGCCUUCGGGUUGUAAAGUACUUUCAGUCGUGAGGAAGGUGUUAAGGUUAAUAACCUUAGCAAUUGACGUUAGCGACAGAAGAAGCACCGGCUAACCUCCGUGCCAGCAGCCGCGGUAAUACGGAGGGUGCGAGCGUUAAUCGGAAUUACUGGGCGUAAAGGGCACGCAGGCGGUUAAUUAAGUUGGAUGUGAAAUCCCCGGGCUUAACCUGGGAAUGGCAUUCAAGACUGGUUAGCUAGAGUCUUGUAGAGGGGGUAGAAUUCCAUGUGUAGCGGUGAAAUGCGUAGAGAUGUGGAGGAAUACCGGUGGCGAAGGCGGCCCCUGGACAAAGACUGACGCUCAUGUGCGAAAGCGUGGGGAGCAAACAGGGAUUAGAUACC